AAAAAUGAUAAUGUCCUGUGAUAUCCAUGUCUGUCCAUGUCCAAGCUGAAAAAAUAUUUUUUUAAUUGGACAAGUAAGACACGCAUAUCAUACAUUUGUCAUCGUGUGUUUGACAUGGAGAAUCAAAAUGAUGUCUCCUUGCUUCAUAGUUAGAUUAGAUUAGAGUUGAUGAUAAUAAAGACUAAACUUACCACUUCAUUUGGUAAAAAACACUUUUGUUUGAAUACAGUGACUUCCUCAAUAUUUUCGAUGUUAAUUGGUUUAUCACUUAUCUCGCAAAAGAUAUUCCUAUUGUUAAAAGAGUUCCUGACAAGGUCAUGCGGUCAAUGGAGAAACCCCCAUAUACAAUGUGUGUCCCAAGGAAGUCAGAACCUGGAUAUUAUCUUGAUCAAGUUUUGCCAAUAUUCUUGAGGCGGCAGGUUUGAGCC